GCUUAUGCACCCGCGUCUGCCCUAUAGUGCUGAUGGGUGGACAGAAGUUUCUCUGGUCCCAUUCGUCGGUGGCCCUGGCUGCGCCUCUCGUCGCGGUCGGGAUUCGCCCGUGCGCUGCGCUCGCUCUACGGAACGUGCAAAAGGGUCAAAACCCUAGCCGCCAGCAGUUCUCGUCAAGCUCGCGCCCCCUCUGCCUCGUCUCCUCCCUGCUCCCUCCUCUCCCAUGACGCCGCCCUCGAGCCCGCGCCGCCUCCACCUCGUCUCCUCCCUUCUCCCUCCUCUACAACGCUGCCGCCCUCGAUGCGCCGUAAGGGACGCCGUUGACACGUCGGGGAUACGCAGCGGCGGAGCUCAGCCGAGCACAGCAGAAACCCACUCCUAACCCUAUUUGCUCGAUUGACAAGAGCAGGGCAACGGAUUGGAUCGAGGGCGCCCUGGCCUCACUGCCGCUGCACCUGGAUUCUCUAGCCGCUGCGUGGAGUCGCCCUGGCCACCGCGUCGAGUCACCUUCGUCGCCGCCGCGAGUCAGCUCCACUGUUGCCGCCAGGAAUCCCUUCCUGACAAGAGGGUCUCCGCCGGUGUCGGCCUGCACCGGUGAGGUCGGGCGCGACCUGGCUUCCAGGGCGGCUUGACUACAGUCUACAGAGCAGUAAAAAAUGGGAGGAUUUGGGAGCUGCUCCGUUUUGGAUAUGGGGGCUGCACGGGCUUGGAGCAGCAAGCCAUGGCAACGAAGGUGAAUAAAACACAUACUUGUACUGUAAAUAAGGUUUUUUCAUAGUGACACCGACAAAGCUUAUGCAUGAGAUAGCGCAUCAUUGAAUUUUGUUAUUCAGUUUUGUAGCAUUUAUGCCAUAGCAAGGUGCAGGAUAAAUGCCCCUCUUGACCUAUUCUAUUUUGGAAUAAGGUUGCGCCAGAUUUUAUUCAAAUGAACAUUGUAAAGUAUGUACUGUCAUGUUCUAGAUACGUCGAAAUUUCAGACCAAACAAGUUUCCUACUUCUCCCCUUCAUGAUCUCUUCAUUUUUUUCUUAAUAUCAUUUAGUUUCCAUUUGUAUUUUUGUGAUUGGUAGAUAAAAGCUUGCGCAGUUGCACUUGGCGUUUAUGUUACUAUAUAUUCAACUAAUUGUACAAGAACCAUCUUAACAGAUCCAUUAUUUAUCUGUCUCCCUGUACUUAAGGCCUAUGUUGUAAGGUUCAGUGGUCAAUUGGAGUUUUAAUUUCCUAGCUGUAGCUCUAAAUAAGGUUUCCUUUGUUAUGCAGUAUAUCCAUAUUAUAAUUAGAGGAGAGGAGUUGUACUGCCUUGCACAUAAUGCAUUUUAAUUCCUUAUUUCUCACAUCCCGAAAGUCACAUUACAUCUAUGAACCAGAAGAACUAGAGGUAUGAAACUCCUAAGAGGAAAUAUUCGCCUCCCUUCCGAUCUUCAGAUCUCCAUAUUUGGUGAAUGCGGUGUUUUGGUUUCGUUGGAUUACUAUCUCUAUUUGGGGUUUAGAUAUGAAUUGAUGUUUUAGUUCGAGCGUGGAUACUCGGCAGUGGUGAUUUAGAUAUUUUUGUAGAACAGAAUAGUUAACUCGGUCUAUUUCUGGAGAACUGCAGUGUAGAUGAUAUAUGUAUGAGCGAUCGUAACACUGAAAAUGCAAAAUUUACAGUAUGGUGUAAUGAUGGUCGGUGGGGUGACUUUUUUGAUGGCAUUGCCCAAUGCAGUUUUUGGAUUUCUACUGAGUGGUACUGUGUUUUGAGAUUUGUUUUUUUGUGUUGCUAUCUGCAGGAAAGUUCCUAGGGAUUUGAUUGAUGGAGGCAUCACUAUUUGGAGCUGGAUUAUCCAUUUUUGCAGCAUCAGCAAUGUUGUUUUCGUUUGGAAUGGCCAUUUCUCAAUUUCUAAAUCGGCUAUACUAUACUUCUUGUCAGGUUACAUUAUCUUGCUUGGUUUCAGUCUAUAUGUAGCACAGCAAUAGGUGACAUGGUUGGUUUGUAUGUUACACUAAGGAACACCACCAUAAGGAAAAGGGCAUUGCACUUUGUUUAUAUUUGGUCUGUUCCUAUUCAGUUUGCUGUAGUACUUGCUACACCAUUUGAAGUUUCUUACUGUUUGCUUCUUGCUGUUUCAUUGUAUUCAGUUAUGAUAUAUUUUUCAACUAUACAAGCACUUGGGUAAGUCAGGAAAACUGAACCAACGACAAACAUUUUACUGGUGAUGUUUUUUAUCUGAGAUGUGAAAGAUGCAUCUUGUCCCCUGAUAUAUUGGCUUAAUCUCUUGAUUUUUUCCCUGACAUGCUAAUAUAGAGCCAGAUAUGCAUGAUUCAUCAUACACAUUACAGCCAAUUAUCCAUUGGUUCUUUUAUCCAUAGAGGUGAUUUUGUUUGGACCAUUAGUCUAGGUAGUGACAUUUUGAUCGAUAAGGCACAAGUUUAUUUUCUUUUUCACUCGGGCUACACUAAAGUAAGCAUCACCGUUAGUGAAAAGAAGGCAUACAAAUCAUGAAGUCUUUGCCUUGGCUAUGUGCCUCGUUUAGUUGUCACUUAUUUAUUUCUGGGAAGUUAUUAAAUUCUCAUCGAGCUUUCCUUAUGCUUUACAUUGCUAAAGAAGAAAUUUAAAUACGCAAUAUUUUUGAUAUCCGAGGAGGUGAGAGGAGAUGAAAAAGGGUUGUAAUGUGUAAGGUUGUACUUUGGCGCGUCUCUGGCCAAUGAUGGCUGGAUCCAUCUGACGCUCUUCCAAGCAGAGCAGUGCAGAUUUGCUGACUAGUACAACAUCUAAACCUUGGCUACUCUAGCUUCUUUUUACAUCUCUUAGUAUCAACAAAUAAGUUGGUUACAGUAUAUACUUGAAGAUUGCAUCAGGCACAAAAUGCUUGGCUAAUCAACCGGUUAAUUGAGUUGUGCCUACGAAGGAUCAGUAGAAUAGUUGGUUUCUUCUAAAAUAAAUGAGGAUUAGUUUGGUUGCCAUGUAACGGUAAGGCCAGAAUGGUGGUACUGAAAAGUGGUUCUGUAAUGGUCAUAUGAGUUGUGGAGUUGGAACUUGAUUCUUUUUAAGUUGGAGUGGCUAGGUUGUCUAUAUGUAUUGCAUUAUUUUUCUACGGCGUGCUGUUCUUUCUAAUGAUUUUUUUAAAAGUUUAGUAUUUAAGUUUACGGCAUUAUUCUGCGGCAUACUGUUCUUUCUACAACAUACUGUUAAUAUCUUAUUCUUUUCAACAUUACACGGUUAAAACCUUCUGUAUAAGAUCUUGCGCUUUCAACAUCUGCUCAUGGCGCUGUGCGUAUUCUGCCAUGAACUGUUUACAUUAGAGAGUUGUGGUACCUUCAUUUGUAUGAUUCCUUUUAGCUGAUGUUGGUUGCUCAUACUGACAAAAUGUGUGUUAACAAAUGAUUGCAGAGCAGCAGAGAAACGUGUUUCUACGAAUGUGCCAAAACUGAUGGAUUUAACUACAGGUAUUGCACUAUUAUUCUACAGGUAUCGUUGUAUUGCAUUAUCCAACUGUAAGUCUGUUCUAAACUCUAAGCCCGAUGUAAAUGUGAUGGAAGAUUGGGCCAUUUAAUUUGAACCAAAAAGGGUGAUAUGCUCUCAGUUGUUUGAAUCUGUCCAGACCUGAAAAUUAGAUAUACUUUGAAAGCUUGAUGUAUGAGUAGGAGAUAGUUGAUAAAGGUGUACUCUUGUAGGAGAUUAUUAGUUGAUUACCUGCUUCUAUGUGGUGAACAAAUGAGUAAGCAGUUUAGUUGAUAAAGGUGUAGGCAACACAGCAUUUUUGUUCCAUUUUUUGGUUUGUAAGUCAAGGAUGUUUAGCCUUUGUUGAAUAUGUUAAUUGUGAAACAGUUUUGAUGCAAUUUUUGAACCGUUCAGUCUGUUUUGUUUGUGCAGUUCAUGGUACCAUAUCUGCAGGCUACAUCUUGUGUAGAUUUGGCUACCACAUUAUAUGAUGUUGUUUCACUUUGCUCAGUCAAGGUUUCAGUAAAAAAAUGAAUUGAACAUAUUUUUGUAGACAUACAAAAACGGUCUGCAUUUUUUACAUCACCCUGACAUCCAAUUCAAACUAUAUUUUCUGCCUAGACUGUUGCAUACCUAUGAGAUCAUGGGAUAACUCAGACAUGAGCCGGUGUCCAGUGUGCAGUGAGGGUGAGUAAUGUGGCAUCAGCCUAUUGUGGACCUGUGUAUUAUACUCCUUCCGAUCAAAAUUAAGUGUCGUUGUUUUAGUUCAAAAACCACGACACUUAUUUUGGAUCGGAGGGAGAGCAUUUAAGAGAUUCCUUGCAUACACAUGAUUCAGAAAAGUACAGUGUGGGAUGCCAUUAUAAACUCAUGAAGUCUGAUCCUGGUAGUGACAUGAUUUACUCUGUUUGAUCAAAUAGGUCGAAGCCAAAGCUGUUCUUAUUGAAUCUCAUGAUGCCCCUGAUGCUUGCUGCUGUAAGCAAGAAAAUUGAGUACAAGUUUCAAUGUCAACCUGAGUUUUCAUUGUGGAUGUUUGAGAGUCAACCUGAAUUUUGAAAAGAACUUUUAGGAUGAUUAGCUAUAGUACUGUGACAAAUAAUCAGGAAAGAUAAUUUUGUAGGGUGAUCAUUGUCUUUCAUAAUAAUAUUAUAGCCGUCGGCCAAACAAUGAAGGUUGCACUACAACUACUCGACUACAAGUUUUAUGUGGAGUUUCUCUGUACAGCUUGCACGAACUCAGUGAGAUCAGGAAUCAUAAUUGCUCACAUUUUUUUCUCCUGAAA